rnacentral:rRNA from 1 species
UACGGGAGGGGGGCUAGCGUUGUUCGGAAUUACUGGGCGUAAAGCGCACGUAGGCGGCGACUCAAGUCAGAGGUGAAAGCCCGGGGGCUCAACCCCCGGAACUGCCUUUGAAACUAGGUUGCUAGAAUCUUGGAGAGGUCAGUGGAAUUCCGAGUGUAGAGGUGAAAUUCGUAGAUAUUCGGAAGAACACCAGUGGCGAAGGCGACUGACUGGACAAGUAUUGACGCUGAGGUGCGAAAGCGUGGGGAGCAAACAGG